CCUACGGGUGGCAGCAGUAGGGAAUUUUCGUCAAUGGGCGCAAGCCUGAACGAGCACUGCCGCGUGAACGAGGAAGGUCUUCGGAUCGUAAAGUUCUGUUGAAGGGGAAAAAGAGCGGAGCGAGGAAAUGGUCUCCGAUUGAUAUUACCCUUCGAGGAAGUCACGGCUAACUACGUGCCAGCAGCCGCGGUAAUACGUAGGUGGCGAGCGUUGUCCGGAAUGGUUGGGCGAAAAGGGUGCGUAGGCGGCCUGCUACGUCUGGAGUGAAAGGUACCGGCUCAACCAGUACAGGCUCUGGAAACUGGCGGGCUAGAGAGCAGGAGAGGGCGGUGGAACUCCAUGUGUAGCGGUAAAAUGCGUAGAUAUAUGGAAGAACACCAGUGGCGAAGGCGGCCGCCUGGCCUGUUACUGACGCUGAGGCACGAAAGCGUGGGGAGCAAAUAGGAUUAGAUACCCGAGUAGUC
rnacentral:rRNA from 1 species